UGAGAGUGUUGAGAGAGAGAAUUGAGUGUGUUCUGGAGGGCUGGGGAGGCCUCAUGGAGGCAAUCAGGCUGCUGCUGGGCUCUAAGACUGGGUAGGGCUUAAAUGAACAACUGAGAGGGAGAUGGUGGAACAUCAUGAAUGAAGACUCAGAGGUAUCAACCCCUGAUAAAUACCAUGCACAUUAGAUUCCAACUUUUCCUUCCAAGACAACUCCUGAAAACGUCCACAACCAUAGAACUUCAAUGUCCUGGAAGAAUGCAGAAGAACCCCAACAAUCAAGAACCCUAGGCAGAAAGGGCUAUGGUAUGUGGGAGAGAAUAAGGGCAGAGAAUCUGACAUUUUCACUCUCAGACACAGAGACUAUUCAACUGUAAAAGUCAACUGGUACACAGAGCCACGCUGAUGAUAUUUUGACUUGUUAACGGAGAGAAGAGGAAAUAGAUUACAGGGAUGUUUUUGUCACCUUCUGGCCUCAGCUGCCUGGCUAGGCUCUUCCUACCUAGGCUUUUCUUUGUGGCUGCAAUUUGAUGAGAAUAAUAUAUAACUGAUGGAAGGGCUCUCUAGGUGCAGUUUUCUUAGAUUAAAUAUGGAUUUUGGUGAAGAUGUGCUUUUUCAGUUAAAAAAAAAUCCUAUUCCUAGAAAUAAGCUUUGUCCUUAACUAUAGGUCAGAGGUGAUCCACCCGCUCUAGGAAAAUCCACCUCCACAUUUCAGUGUGGGCCAUAUAUGCCCAUCCUACUCAGGUGUGCAUCAAGAUGGAGCACACCACUUUACCACUUCUUGAAGUUUCCAAGGGAGAAUGGUUUGGGACAGGUGUUUGUACAGGAAGAUAGAAGGUAGUCGGAGAGUCAUCUUCUCUGAUAGUCAUAGUCCUCUCUGUGUGACAGCUCUGCCACAUCCACGUCGCAUACUUCUUUACACUUCAUCACACCUGUUCACACAUAGGAGAAUUGACGAAUCAAUUAACAGCAUCCUGCUGGUGCUCACACAUCACUUUGCAUCAAAUCAGCAAUUCUUUUGAUGGGGGCUGACGUUUACCAUCCUUGUUGGAAACUUUCCAAGGCAUGAAUUAAAAUACAACCAAACUUAACUAUGAAAUCAUUGAGAGGAUUGGUAAAGGCCACAAACAUUUAAAGUUUCAAGUGGGAAUGAAAUCUGCUUGCUUAUUUUAAUGCGA
rnacentral:lncRNA from 10 species